UGGGGAAUUUUGGACAAUGGGCGAAAGCCUGAUCCAGCCAUGCCGCGUGAGUGAAGAAGGCCUUCGGGUUGUAAAGCUCUUUUAGUCGGAAAGAAAGAGUUGCAAUGAAUAAUUGUGAUUUAUGACGGUACCGACAGAAAAAGCACCGGCUAACUACGUGCCAGCAGCCGCGGUAAUACGUAGGGUGCGAGCGUUAAUCGGAAUUACUGGGCGUAAAGGGUGCGCAGGCGGUCUUGCAAGUCAGAUGUGAAAGCCCCGGGCUUAACCUGGGAAUUGCGUUUGAAACUACAAGGCUAGAGUGCAGCAGAGGGGAGUGGAAUUCCAUGUGUAGCAGUGAAAUGCGUAGAGAUGUGGAAGAACACCGAUGGCGAAGGCAGCUCCCUGGGUUGGCACUGACGCUCAUGCACGAAAGCGUGGGGAGCAAACA
rnacentral:rRNA from 2 species